UACGGAGGAGGCAAGCGUUAUCUGGUAUUAUUGGGCGUAAAGCGUCCGUAGAUGGUCGUUUCAAGUCUGCUGUCAAAGACCGGGGCUUAACCCCAGAAAGGCGGUGGAAACUGAACAGCUAGAGAGAGGUAGGGGUAGAGGGAAUUCCCAGUGUAGCGGUGAAAUGCGUAGAUAUUGGGAAGAACAUCAGUGGCGAAAGCGCUCUACUGGACCUUAUCUGACAUUGAGGGACGAAAGCUAGGGGAGCGAAUGGG
rnacentral:rRNA from 1 species